UGUAGUGUAGUGGUUAUCACGUUAGUCUUACACACUAAAGGUCCUCAGUUCAAUCUUGGGCAGCAAUAUAGUAAGUUCAUUCCUAUUAUUUAAACUAGUUUCAUUAAGUUUAUACUUAAAGCACAAAUUUACUUGCCUAGUGCACAACUUGUGUGUGAAGUUGCUGUGGUGUAGUGGUUAUCACGUUAGUCUUACACACUAAAGGUCCCCAGUUCGAUCCUGGGCAGCAAUAUAGUAAGUUUAUUCUUUUUAUUUUAACCUAGUUUCAUUAAGUUCAUUCCUUUUAUUUAAACUAAUUUCAUCAAGUUUAUACUCAAAGCACAAAUUUAGAUGCCUGGUGCACAACUUAUGUGUGAAGUUGCUGUAGUGUAGUGGUUAUCACAUUAGUCUUACACACUAAAGGUCCCCAGUUCAAUCCUGGGCAGCAAUAUAGUAAGUAUAUUCUUCUUAUUAUUUUUAACCUAGUUAAAUUAAGUUUAUACUGAGAGCACAAAUUUAGUUGCCUAGUGCAUAACUUAUGUUUGAAGUUGCUGUGGUGUAGUGGUUAUUACGUUAGGCUUACACACUAAAGGUCCUCAGUUCAAUCUUGGGCAGCAAUAUAGUAAGUUCAUUCCUAUUAUUUAAACUAGUUUCAUUAAGUUUAUACUUAAAGCACAAAUUUACUUGCCUAGUGCACAACUUGUGUGUGAAGUUGCUGUG